UAUUAUGUCGUGAAAAUGUAUAUUAGUAAUAUAUAUUUAUAUUUUCCACAUCAAGUUUUCGGUGCAUUUUCCGGUUCCGACAGGCGACGCACAUCCGGUGGAGUUUCGACCAAUGAGAAGGCGUCGUUUCGUUUGAACCGGGGGAGCGGUACUCUUAUCGUUGUUCUGUCUGUUGUUUAAAAACGGAAUAAAAUACUUAUAUUUCAUCCCGUAACUAAAUCAACUAACGUUAGCUAAAAAAUUAAAUAAAUAAAAAGGUGUGAUAACGGAUACAGACGGAGGGGACGUUUAAUGUUUGAGUUUGUCGGUUCCCGAUCUUCUUGUUGGUGAAACUGACCUGAGUAAAGAUGAACCGAGCAGGCCAACCGUUGUUCAUGAAGACCUACGGCAAACAGAAACGGAAGUUGGAGGCCUGGAUCUCCCCUGACAACCGAAAACAGGUUUUCGACACCACCUCUUCCUCUGACCUCUCCAUUGCUGAGCCCUCCAACCCCAAACCCCCGGCCAAGAGAGGGAGAAAGACAAGUACAGCAGAUGGCAGUAGAGCGACGCGACUAGCUAAGUCCAAUGCCCUGUCCUGUCUGAGAGAGAAGGACAGUGACGAAGAGAACAUCUUCAUUGUCCCUCCUCCUCCUCCUCCUCCUCACACCCAGCAGCAGAGCAACAACGCAGACAGGAAGUCAUUGUUGAGGCGUACUGGUAGAAAGGCCCAGCGUAUCGUGAGCACCAGUGAGAGUGAUGAAGAGUCAACGACCACCAGCCAACCCAACCCUAAACGCUCCACAGCUAGAGACAAGACACACACACAUCCGACUCCAGGGAAGUUUGUGACGCAUCGUAGGGGAGCAACAACCGCCAAACACAAAGCCCCCAAGAGGAAACUCAGAGUCCUGCUGGCCCAGCUCAGCUCAAACUCCUCUGAUGACUUCGUCCAUGAUGGAAGAGAAGAAGGGGGAGUGGUCCAGCGUGCCUUCCCUUGCCGUGCCAAACAGGGGCGCCGCCGUGCCCUGGCCAACGCUGACAGCUCGUUGGCCGACCCGGGGAACAGCGGAGUAGUAACCAACGGUUACGGUUUCCUGCGAGAUAUCUCUCUGAAUGAUUCGCCCGAGCGCCCCUCGGGACCCUGCCACAGGAAACCUCUCUUCUCCUCCACCCCUAGCUCACGUUCCCUCCGUCCUCCCAUCUCUCCCUCCGCCAGCGACGUCAUCUCUCUGAGCGCCGCCCGGGAGGAGCUGGCCGUUCCAGAGGACCCGCUCCGUCCCUCUCCGUCUGCCUCGCUCGCAGAUCCACGUCCUGGGCAACGCCAGCUGUCGUCCCUGUGCCGGGAAGUGGGACCAGAGGUAGGAAACUGCGAAGGAUCAACCAGCGUGAGGAGUAACAGGAGCCGGAAUGGAGACUCGGCGAUCCAAGAUGGCGUCGGUGAGCAGCUGAGCCUGAGCCUGUUCUCCGCGGUUGCCUGUGAGCGGACUGGCUCAGGCACGGCCGGGGAGGAAACUGAGGACGGCAGCCAUUUUGUGUCGGCGACGACGGCGGGACGGGAUUGGCUGGCCGAGGUAGUGAAGGAGAGAUGUCUGACGCGGCGCUGUGUCGUACGGCUAGAGAGAGAGUACAAACUGCACCGCGACGCCACCUAUUCGUCCUGCGUCGACCCUACGAGGUCACGCUACGACGGCGGGUCCGUCGACCACUCGGGGUAUAGAGAUCCGUCUAGAGGAGACGCGGGUCGGCGAACGAAGGGCGGU
rnacentral:lncRNA from 1 species